rnacentral:rRNA from 1 species
UACGAAGGGGGCUAGCGUUGCUCGGAAUCACUGGGCGUAAAGCGCACGUAGGCGGAUUGCUAAGUCAGGGGUGAAAUCCUGGAGCUCAACUCCAGAACUGCCCUUGAUACUGGCGGUCUCGAGUCCGGGAGAGGUGAGUGGAACUGCGAGUGUAGAGGUGAAAUCGUAGAUAUUCGCAAGAACACCAGUGGCGAAGGCGGCUCACUGGCCCGGUACUGACGCUGAGG